rnacentral:lncRNA from 1 species
UCAUGUUUACAGAACAAGAAAAUAAUUCAAGAGUUCCAGCUGGAAAAUCAUUAUCAAAUAAGCAAGGCCACCAUAGACACACUAACAUGAAAUGAACUCUAAGCAUUAUAAUUCAAGAACUCCAAAUAGCUGACUACCAUCCACAUGUUGUAACAAACAUGGACCAGAAAAUAAAUUGAAACAGACAACACAAACAAAAAGAAAUGGACCAGAAUCCACAGGACACCAUGCAUGCCUACCAAGAAAGUAGAUUAGAACAGAUUUAUUGUAGAAAGUAUAUGAGAAGCAGAUGCCUUCUUAGUCAUCAUCAACUAGCACAGAAUUAUGCAUAAAGGAGAACUAGUCUCUUGAAUCCAUCAAGUGAGAUUGCUAUUGUGCAUAUUAUAUGUUAUACAUGAUCAUGAAUAUAUAUUUAAUUACAUCCAGAUGUAAUUAAAUGACAAAAAUGAAAUUAUAAAAAAGAUCUGCCUGAUGCAUUAGGGGAAG